AGAUCUGAUGAUUGGGAAGAAAAAAAACUCUUUGGAUCUUUAUUCUGCUAAUUAGUUUCCUGCAAAAAAUGGCUGAUUAGUGCAGUGCGCAUGUGCCUCAUUACCCAGGCACGACGGGAAGGGCUAAUUAGCCACCUUCUGGAUCAAUAAGAUUCAGCCCAGGCGGCGGGGGAGGGAGCGAGCGCGCAGGAGCGGGCGGGGGGAGCGCGGCGGCGGCGGCGGCGCCGCACCGAAACUUGGGGCAAGCGGCCGGCCCCCAGCCCGCGGCGGGGGGGCCCGGCCCCGCUCCGCGCCCUGCCCGCGCAGCGCCCUGCCGGGCAGGGCAGGGGGCGCGGGGCCGGCCGGCGGCUCCGCACCGCUCCGCGGCGGCGGGACCUCCGCGGGGCCACCUGCCCCCGCACCCCGGGUGGGGCCCGCGCCGCCCCGAGCAGGGCCGGGCCGGGCUGGGACGGGACGACCCCCGCCGCCGCCGCCGAAGUUUCCCCGGGAGCAGCCGGGAAAGUUGCGGCCGGCAGCGAGCGCAACUUUGCGCGCCGGCCCCGCAGCCGCCGCCCGCAGCAUCCCCGCAGCAUCCCCGCGGCGCGGCCCGGCCCCGUUCAAACUUGGCGGCCGCCGCUCCGAGCGGGCCGGCGGAUCAAUGCGGCCGCGGCCAGCCGCGCUGGGAGCCGGGCUACAGGUUUCACCAGCCAUCGCUGGCAACAGCUUUGUCAUUUUCUAAAAAUAAGAAGCUAAAAGUUAUUGUAGAAGAAGGGGCUUUUUUUGUCCCCCGCACAAUGUGCCUUUUGUGAGUUUAAUGCCAUUCUGGGGCUCUCUAUAGCCCCGGACAAUGGGGAACUCCAGGAGGCGGCUGUGCCUCUGCCUUUUUUCUUUCUUGCUUUCUCUUUUCUCCCCCCACCCCCUCCUCUUUUUUCCCCUUUUUUCUUUUUUUUCUUUUUUUUUCUUUCCUUUUUUUUUUUUUUUUUUUUUUUAGGAAAGGAUGCAGCAUUCCUCCAGUCCCACCAGAACCUCUGCUUUGAUUAAAUAAAUAUUUUUCUAGCCUUACGCUCUGAACAAGGAAUGCAGUUGCGGUCAGUUUUUCCAUUUGGGAGAACCAUAAUGUAGAUGUAUUUUAUACUGCAAGCUCUGUGCUUCUUGGAAAUGUGUCUGAAGAAUCAGAACAAAGCAUGGAAGGCCAGAGUCCUUGAAGGAGCUCCAAAUGAUAAAGUCUGCCAUUCAUUUUAAACACAGCGUGCAUUGUGGAAACACAGGUCAAUUUGAAGGCAUUUGUCAGAUUUCCAGUUCCCUCUGCUCCUUUGCAAUGGAAAUUUGCAAUCAAAUCCCUGUGCUGGAGUUGGGAUGUCUGCCUUGAUCAGUUUGUAUGACUUUAUGCCCAAAGCACUGGCCAGGUAAGCUAGCUUUUCCUUUGGAAAGUUUGUUUGUGUGGAGUUGAGCAGGAGACGGGGGGAAGACUGAGGGGAAUCAAGCUGGAGCAGAUGCGUUUAUUCCAGGUUUGGAAAGGGGAAAGGGCAGGCGAUCGGCAGUGACGGAUUGCACAGGGCUGGCCGAGCUGCAGGAGUGAGCUGAUACCAUUUAGAGACGCCCAGCAAGAGGCAUGGAAAGGGAUAUUCCAACAGCAGCGUGGUCAUUGUUGGGAUGCAGAAAUGCAGCAGGGCUGAAGAGCCACAUUGCUGAGCAAUUCUGGCCAGACAGCAGGAAUUUCUUCUGGCGGCAUGUUCCCCUUGGUUAAUGCUGGGGCUGCCACCCUUAUUGCUGACACGAGUGGGGAUGCUGGAGGGGGGAGUGCAUUUCUCUAGAAGAAAUGCUGUAGCAUUUGGGGAGGUUUGGGCUGGAGGGGAUGUUCAAAGGGACGUUUGUUCUUUUGUCUUCAAUUUAUUUCUGGGGUUUUACCUGAUUAUUAAAAGACAUUGUGCUCUAGGCAGUGGGAUUGACGGGACCUCUGUGGGCUAUUCCAGCUGUCCCCAAACCUCUGGCGAGGCUGCUGCAGCCAGGCUGAGUAAACACUCCUUAGUCAGCCAGCAGGCUUGUAAUGUGCAUUUGCUUGUU